AUAUCAAUAAGCGGAGGAAAAGAAACUAACAAGGAUUCCCCUAGUAACUGCGAGUGAAGCGGGAAAAGCUCAAAUUUAAAAUCUGGCAGGCGUCGUCUGUCCGAGUUGUAAUCUAGAGAAGUGUUAUCCGCGCUGGACCGUGUACAAGUCUCCUGGAAUGGAGCGUCACAGAGGGUGAGAAUCCCGUCUAUGACACGGACUACCUGUGCUUUGUGAUGCGCUCUCAAAGAGUCGAGUUGUUUGGGAAUGCAGCUCAAAAUGGGUGGUAAAUUCCAUCUAAAGCUAAAUAUUGGCGAGAGACCGAUAGCGAACAAGUACCGUGAGGGAAAGAUGAAAAGAACUUUGGAAAGAGAGUUAAACAGUACGUGAAAUUGUUGAAAGGGAAACGCUUGAAGUCAGUCGCGUGAUCUUGGAAUCAACCUGGUUUUUCCUGGUGUACUUCCUAGUUUACGGGUCAGCAUCAGUUUUGACCAUUGGAAAAAGGUUGAGGGAAUGUGGCAUCUUCGGAUGUGUUAUAGCCCUUGAUUGUAUACAGUGGUUGGGACUGAGGAACUCAGCACGCCGAAAGGCCGGGGUUCGCCCACGUUCGUGCUUAGGAUGCUGGCAUAAUGGCUUUAAUCGACCCGUCUUGAAACACGGACCAAGGAGUCUAACAUGCCUGCGAGUGUUUGGGUGGAAAACCCGAGCGCGUAAUGAAAGUGAAAGUUGAGAUCUCUGUCGUGGAGAGCAUCGACGCCCGGUCCUGACCUUUUGUGACGGUGCCGCGGUAGAGCAUGUAUGUUGGGACCCGAAAGAUGGUGAACUAUGCCU
rnacentral:rRNA from 1 species